AAGUCGGGCGGGAUACAUUGUUGUAGCAAUACAGUGGUGUGUUUAGCGGCGAACGGGUGAGCAAUACAAGGGCAACCAUCCCUCAGGAGGGGCACAACCCACCGAAAGGUGGGCUAAUACCCCAUGUUUUGCGGCGGAGGCAUCUCUGCCGUAACAAAGGCGCCGCAAGGUGCCGCCUCUGGACGGGAUCUUGUCCUAUCAGCUUGAUGGCGGGGUAACGGCCCACCAUGGCAACGACGGGUAGCCGGCGUGAGAGCGUGACCGGCCACAGGGGAACUGCGAUACGGUCCCCACUCCUACGGGAGGCAGCAGUCUAGAAAUUUGGGCAAUGGGCGAAAGCCUGACCCAGCGACACCGCGUGGAGGAUGAAGUCUUUCGGGAUGUAAACUCCUGACAGGCGGAGCGAUGCCGUUUCGGAGUAACUGCCGAGACGGUGACGGUACUGCCAAAGGAAGCCCCGGCUAACUACGUGCCAGCAGCCGCGGUAAUACGUAGGGGGCAAGCGCUGUCCGGAUUUACUGGGCGUAAAGGGUGUGCAGGCGGGCUGGCGUGUCGGUGGUGAAAGCCCUCGGCUUAACCGGGGAAGUGCUGCCGAAACUACCAGUCUUGAGGACGGAAGAGGAAACUGGAACUUCUGGUGUAGCGGUAAAAUGCGUAGAUAUCAGAAGGAACGCCGAUAGCGAAGGCAGGUUUCUGGGACGUUCCUGACGCUGAAACACGAAAGCUAGGGGAGCAAACAGGAUUAGAUACCCUGGUAGUCCUAGCUGUAAACGAUGUACAUUAGGCGUGGGGAGUUUUCCCCGUGCCGGAGCCAACGCGUUAAAUGUACCGCCUGGGGACUAC
rnacentral:rRNA from 1 species